GUGCUCACUUUGGCAAUGCACAUACAAAAUUGGAAUGAUACAGAAUAGACUAACAUAGCCCUUGGACAGGAUUGACAGCAAAUUUGUGACGUAUUCCACAUAUAU
rnacentral:snRNA from 1 species